CUUGAAUUUGAGGGUCUUAAUUCACUCAAUCUGUUCAAAUCUUUCACAUGAAAUUUUAGGCCAAAAUCAGCCUUAACCAUACAUACAUGUACACAUUUAUAUAUACUUAAAGGAUCUUUUGAAAAUAAUAAAUACUUUUUUUACUUUCAAUCAUUAGUCAAAUUGUAAAUGGACAAUUGUAGUCAAACUGGCUCAAGUACACCCCCCCCC
rnacentral:lncRNA from 1 species